UACGUAGGGGCCAAGCGUUGUCCGGAUUUAUUGGGCGUAAAGAGCUCGUAGGCGGUUCGAUAAGUCGACGGUGAAAUCUCCACGCUCAACGUGGAGGGGUCCGUCGGUACUGUCGUGACUCGAGUCCGGUAGGGGAGAAUGGAAUUCCCGGUGUAGCGGUGAAAUGCGCAGAGAUCGGGAGGAACACCCGUAGCGAAGGCGGUUCUCUGGGCCGACACUGACGCUGAGGCGCGAAAGCUAGGGGAGCGAACGGG
rnacentral:rRNA from 1 species